rnacentral:rRNA from 1 species
UACAGAGGGGGCAAGCGUUGUUCGGAAUUACUGGGCGUAAAGGGCGCGUAGGCGGCCUACUAAGUCGAACGUGAAAUCCCCGGGCUUAACCCGGGAACUGCGUCCGAUACUGGUUGGGCUUGAAUCCGGGAGAGGGAUGUGGAAUUCCAGGUGUAGCGGUGAAAUGCGUAGAUAUCUGGAGGAACACCGGUGGCGAAGGCGGCAUCCUGGACCGGUAUUGACGCUGAGGCGCGAAAGCCAGGGGAGCAAACGGG